rnacentral:misc_RNA from 1 species
GAUGAAGAACGUAGCGAAAUGCGAUAAGUAGUGUGAAUUGCAGAAUUCAGUGAAUCAUCGAAUCUUUGAACGCACAUUGCGCCCCUUGGUAUUCCAUGGGGCAUGCCUGUUCGAGCGUCAUUUCAACCCUUAAGCCUAGCUUAGUGUUGGGAAUCUGCUGUAUUGCAGUUCCUCAAAUACAACGGCGGAUCUGUAACAUCCUCUGAGCGUAGUAAAUUUUUAUCUCGCUUUUGUUAGGUGUUGCAGCUCUCAGCCGCUAAACCCCCCAAUUUUUGUGGUUGACCUCGGAUCAGGUAGGAAUACCCGCUGAACUUAAGCAUAUCAAUAAGCGGAGGA